rnacentral:rRNA from 1 species
AUGGCUCCUACCGAGGCUGAGGAUGAUGUAGAGGAGGGAGAAGAGAAGAAGAAGAGGGAAAGGAAGGCAGCCGGAGCUGCUUUCACGUGGAUUCAAAAUAACUUUGCGACGUGCCCUCCGGAUGCAACUGAUGAUGUGAUCCAGACACAUGCUCAUGUGUAUAUGUGGUACAUUGUGUCGAGGACUUUGUUUCCCGACUCCACUGGCAAGAACGCUUCAUGGAUGUGGCUGAAGGCGUUGACCGUCUUCGAUAGCAAAUGGAGUUGGGGUUCAGCGACUCUUGCCUAUUUGUACCGACAGGUAGUUGGUCUGUUUUGUGAUCAACUCAUUUAUUCAUUAGCAAUGCAAGCUUGCUGUCAAGUUAACAUUGUUUUUCUUUCAUAUGUAGCUGGAUGA